CCCUUAGACGUUCUGGGCCGCACGCGCGCUACACUGAUGCAUUCAACGAGUUUCUUCCUGGUCCGAGAGGAAUGGGUAACCUUUUGAAAGUGCAUCGUGAUAGGGAUAGACUAUUGCAAUUAUUGGUCUUCAACGAGGAAUUCCUAGUAGACGUAGUUCAUCAGACUGCAUCGAUUACGUCCCUGCCCUUUGUACACACCGCCCGUCGCUCCUACCGAUUGAAUGCUCAGGUGAGCCAUUCGGACUUUCAUCAUGCUGGUUUCCAGUUUUGAUGAAGGAAAGUCUUGCGAACCUUAUCAUUUAGAGGAAGGAGAAGUCGUAACA
rnacentral:rRNA from 1 species